AGGACCGGCUAAGCAGCCUCUCCUUGUUGCACCCCAUCGCCCUGAAGCUUUCUCUCUGUGUGUCUGGAGCUGACCCAAAAGCUCAUUGGCCUCCCCAUGUGCCUCCCGGGCUGCAGGCAGAGUUUUUGGCAUCAGAAUGACUUUCCAUGCUUAUACUACCUGGUGAGCUCCUGUCAUAAGACCCAAAUCAUCAGAGUCCUGCACUUACUUCUUCAGUGAGGCCUCCAGACUCCUUCAGGGGAGAGCAGGAACCGCAGUUCCCCACUACCACAAAUUAUGCAGUCCAGUUUCCCGCAUUUGGGGUCAGCACAUCCGGAGGGCAAUGGAUAAGCCUCACCCUGGGAAAACCACCUUUGUGAACAUUAUUAC